rnacentral:lncRNA from 1 species
UCACUUCGUUUGACAUGUAGAUUUGCUAUCUCUCUAAACAGUUAUUUUUGACAUGAAGAAACUUUAGCACCUAUUGAACUGUGCAGAAAUAGAUGUAAUAAUCGGGCGACAUAACUGGAGAAUGGAAUUUGUAAUAUGAACCUGCAAUGUGAAAUAGAGAAUUUGAUGAACAUUAGAAACAACAAUGAACAAACUAAACCAGAAUUGAGAAAUUCAAAAACAGAAAAUGUAAAAUGAAAGAUUUUGAAAUAAAUAAUUUGAUGAAAAGAUGAUGAACAAACUUAACCAUAAUUGAGAGAUACAAAAACAGAAUUGUAAAUUGCAAAAAGAAGAUGAGACAUAAGAUUGAUGAAAGCAUGAAAUCAGAACAUAGGUUCCUCCAUAGUGAAGAAGAAUCAUACCUUUUGCCAACGGUUUCUUUUCCUUCGUUUUCUUUUGACUCAAUCUCAUCUCCUUCGUUUUCUCCCUUCUCCGUGGAUCUAGGUUUUUGAAUUCUUGGGUUUUGAAUGGAGGACGAAGCAAAUAGAGGUUUAGUAUGAAUAUGAAUUUUUGAUCAAGUGAGAAUUAUAUUAGUGACACUUUGUUGAAUCUCAGAGAUCAUGGAAGAACAGUAGAGAUCGUGGGCAGUUGAAGGAUAUUGUUUCUGUCGUAAUUCUUUUUUUU